GGGCUUCUAAUUUGCGCGACUCCGAAGCUCUGCGAUCCUAGUAGCGUUUGACCCGAUACUUGGGUCAAAAAAUGAGUUUCGUUGGAAUUCCCAACUCCCGAGUUCACAUGAAAAAUAAAAAUAUAAGGAUUAAUUGCCGAACAAGUAUAAGAAUUAAAGAAAAUACAGAUUACAUGUAUAUUGAAUUUAAACCUCUACUCACCAAUCAUACCAACACAUGACUACACCCAUUAACUAAUUAUAGCGGGAUAAGACUAAACUAUUUACGAUAGACUUCAUUUCUUAAAUGUAAUUAGCAUGCAUAUUGAAGUCAUCCAGACUUAUUCAAAAGGGCUCAAGGAAAUAGAUGGGAUAACAACCAACAAAGCUUCUGGAAACUUGAAUUGAAUGACAACCAACAUAUUCUACACCUAUUAUUAAACAUUCCCAAUUAAAAGAAAAGCCAAAUCUCUAAAACUUUGCAACUUGAGGCGUAAUCAGUUUCACUUGGGAAAGACUUUCUUUCAAUUUUCAUUAUCCGAGUGAUAAUGAAGGCACUACAAAUGUUUAAAAUAUACUACACACGGACCAGAUUUGACCAUCCAAAUAACAAUUUUCUUUUAUAACUUGAAACAACUCCUCGAUGAAAGAAAGAAAAGAAUGGAGCAAGGAUUCGAGAAUUAACAGUGUAUUUAGGAAUCAUUUAAUUAGGCUUCAGUCAAAACUUUUUAGGCAAUGCUCGGGACAAAAUUAUCCUAUCGAAAUUGACUCGGAAUUUAAAGAAAAUGACACCACAGUAAACCCAAAACAAAGCAACUUUCAAAUUUACCAAAAUCCAACAAUAUCAAUAGGAGUAAGUUAAAAUAAAGCGUGAUAGAGGCUUGUCUCUAUGUUGGCAUUUGAAUUUCGUUAGCCAAAGAUUUUCUUACCUUUCAACUAACCAAGUAAAAGCCAAUCAACUUUAACAUCCAUAAAACAUAAAAAAAAUUUGCAACCCACGACCAUGUACUAGACUUAAAAUAGGAAGAUUAACCUAUACCAUGAAAUAAUGAGAAUGGAGCAUCAAGGAUGAGAAUAAAACAAAACAAAGCUAACCCAUGUCACUGAGCAACGGAAACAAAACAAAGUGCCUAGAUGCCAAACUUAUCAAAAUUCUAAUUGAUUUGCAUGUUUUGAAAAGCUAUCAGAACAAACAUAUCAAAAUUUAUGCGAUGCUUAAGGUGUUCGUCUUAAAAUGUUCCUAGCAGCCCAUCGGAGUAGACAGAUAUAUUUUCGACUAGUAGCGUGAGCACGCAAGGGAGUCAAACAAACUAAAAAAACUUUUCAAAACUCCAAAUAAAAGAUGAUGAAAUAUUUUUAUUUAUUCAAGAAUGGAAGAAAGAGCACAUCCAUAUUAACUUGGUGAUUGAAACAUAGCCAUUAAGGAUGUUACCAGGAAAGCUAGUGAUUGAAGUCUCAAACCUUAUGCAAAUCUUACUCAAAGUGAGUCGUUAGCCAUAAAUAACCAGAAAUUUUAACACCAAAAAACCGAAGAAUAUGAAUUCUUUUUUUUUGACGCCAAACAACUAGAGGCUAUCUUUCUUAUUUCAUGUUUCCACAUUUUAUGUCCAAAUGCCGAAUGAGAUUACAAAAAGAGAAUCAAAAUUUUACUUCUUUCCUUACAAAGGCAAAAGGAAGUGUUAACAAAUUUUAACAUUGAAGCCAGAUCACAUACUUCCAUUGACAACAGAGUGGUCCUAUUACUCAUGGACUUAUUUUUCUUCUUUUCCAUAAACAAACUCCUGAAAAUUCUUGCAAAAAACUUACAUAAAUCCUAACGAGUUUAUCCCGAAUUAGUAAUUACUCCAUAUAUCUAUUACAAAUAAUUCCUUAUUUUAUACUUUUGGACAAAUAAUUAGCAGCCUCAAGAUUAACAAAUCAUGCCCUAGACUUAAUUUCACCGGAAAACGAACAAACAAUGCCAACAGGAGCUCGACACCCCAACAAAUACAUUUUAAUACUAACCUAAUCGGAAAUCACGCAUCCAUCCAUUCCCAAAGGACAUCGACGAAAACAAACUUGACCAAUAUUCAUACGCAGAUUCAACGUCCAAAACUCACUAAUAGUUUCAAACCUCAAUCCGACUUUACCUACAGACCCACUUACGACCAAAAUAGUUUAAUCCACAAACCAACACAAGUCUACAAUAAUAUCAGGUAGAUCACCAUCAUAUGUUCAAAGAUCGAAAAAGGAUAACGAGAUGGGAAACGGAUAAAAAGGAAAAGAUUUGUACCUUGUGUGGGGCAGCAAAACUGAGGCUUUCCGUCAAGUUUUCCUAUGGCCACGACUCAAUUCCGACACUCGAACUCGGACCAAGAAAAAUAAGAGAAUAUUAACCAGUAAUGAAAACUUGAAUGCUUAAUCAGUAUAGUGGGAGAUCGAGACCUGACCAUCUUUUCCCCAUGAGAAAGAUGAGGCCACCCUUUAUAGGUGUAAAUUCGGACUUGAAGGUCCGGAUUUGAAAACCAAAAAAUAAAAAAACGGAAAGAUUUUGAAAUUUGAAUCAUAAAUCUCCUUUAAAUCAACAUCAAAUCAAAGACCCAUAGUUCCUUUUUGAGGUCUGUUCAAUUCAAAUUUCCAAUUCAUGGAGAACAAUGGGGAGAGAGGGUCACUGUUUUGGGAACAUCAGUGCUUUGGGUAGCAAGAAGAUGCGUGAUUUUGGUCUUUCGGAAAACAAAAAAGGUCGGUUGUUGUUUAUCUGAAACAAAGAAAAAGACCAUUUGAUAUAAGAAUAAAAGAAAUAAUAAGUUUAUAUAUAUAUUCAAAAAUUUUG
rnacentral:lncRNA from 1 species